CUUCCAGUAGCACCUUAGAGACCAACUAAGUUUGGUAUUGGUAUUGGUUAUUUGUUAUUGGCAUGCACACGAAAGCUCACACCAAUAACAAACUGAGUUGGUCUCUAAGGUGCUACUGGAAG